CCCUUAGAUGUCCUGGGCCGCACGCGCGUUACACUGAUGCAUUCAACGAGCUUAUAACCUUGGCCGAGAGGCCUGGGCAAUCUUGUUAACGUGCAUCGUGAUAGGGAUAGAUUAUUGAAAUUAUUAAACUUGAACGAGGAAUUCCUAGUAAACGCAGAUCAUCAAUCUGCAUUGAUUACGUCCCUGCCCUUUGUACACACCGCCCGUCGCACCUACCGAUUGGAUGGUCCGGUGAAGCCUCGGGAUUGUGGUUCUUGCCGCUUUAUUGUGGCGUGACCGCGAGAACUUGUCUAAACCUUAUCAUCUAGAGGAAGGUGAAGUCGUAACA
rnacentral:rRNA from 1 species